AGUGAACGCUGGCGGUAGGCCUAACACAUGCAAGUCGAACGGCAGCACAGUAAGAGCUUGCUCUUACGGGUGGCGAGUGGCGGACGGGUGAGGAAUACAUCGGAAUCUACUUUUUCGUGGGGGAUAACGUAGGGAAACUUACGCUAAUACCGCAUACGACCUACGGGUGAAAGCAGGGGAUCUUCGGACCUUGCGCGAUUGAAUGAGCCGAUGUCGGAUUAGCUAGUUGGCGGGGUAAAGGCCCACCAAGGCGACGAUCCGUAGCUGGUCUGAGAGGAUGGUCAGCCACACUGGAACUGGAACACGGUCCAGACUCCUACGGGAGGCAGCAGUGGGGAAUAUUGGACAAUGGGCGCAAGCCUGAUCCAGCCAUACCGCGUGGGUGAAGAAGGCCUUCGGGUUGUAAAGCCCCUUUGUUGGGAAAGAAAAGCAGCAGGUUAAUACCCCGCUGUUCUGACGGUACCCAAAGAAUAAGCACCGGCUAACUUCGUG
rnacentral:rRNA from 1 species